CAAUGGCUUUAUUUGGGGACUGCCCCUGCAGCCCCCUCCCCAGCACCCGGCACCCAUCCUGCCCCUCCCCGAGUCCUUGUCCCCCCACUUUGCCACAGCCCAGCCCCGGCCCCCCCAGAUCCCACUGGAGGAGCCGGGGCCGCAUCCUGCCCCGGGGGCACAGGGGAGCUGCUGGGGCUGGGGGGGCUCAGGCACUGGGACUCUUCAUGUCACCCAGAGCCACCGAGGCUGCUCCCGCUGCUCCUCCUCACCCACCUCGUCUCCCGCAGCACCCGCAGCGGCAGCACAUCACCACCCCGAUGGCCACCGCGGUGAAGGCGGCCACGAGGACACACACCACCAUGAUCAUGUCCGGCUCCUCGCUCCUGGGGACCUCUGUGGAGCAUCACGGGCACAGGAUGGGAUUCCCCCAGGCUGGGGCACCCCAAAGUGCAGAGCAAGGACCACCACAUCCCACCCAGGGGCUGCUCCAGGUGAUGGACACCCGGGAAUAGGGGGGGAUCCCCCAAACCGGCUGUUGUGUCCCCCCUCAGCACCAGCCCCACUCACCGGCCGCCGUGGGCUGCAGGACCAGGCUGCAGAGGAGCUGCCGGGGGGCAGCACCGGCCACGUAGCAGGAGUAAUUCCCGAAGUCGGGAUCGCUGAGGUUCCUCAGGAGCAGGGCCAGGCCGGCGGCCCCCGGCCCCGUGGCGCAGAAGGACACCCUGCCCCUAAACUGGUUGUCGGGCUCCUCCGGUGGGAUCCAGCCCGGCUCCGGCGGGAGCCAGCCCAGGCGGUGCCGGAGGACGGGAAUGGGGUGGUGGGUCCCAUUCUGGUGGGUGCAGCUGAGGGUGACCCCCCGUAGGUGACCCCAUGGCUGGGUGCUGCAGGGCAGGCAGGCGUCAUCCCCGAUGGAUGCGGUGACGGUGACGGGGGGCUGGUCUGUGGGCAGCCAGGGCCCAGAGCAUCACGAUGGGGAACAGCACCAUCCUGCCGGCAUCCGGACCCACCACC
rnacentral:lncRNA from 1 species